rnacentral:rRNA from 1 species
AUUGAACGCUGGCGGCAGGCCUAACACAUGCCAGUCGAGCGGAGGAAGGGAGCUUGCUCCUGGAUUCAGCGGCGGACGGGUGAGUAAUGCCUAGGAAUCUGCCUGGUAGUGGGGGAUAACGUCCGGAAACGGGCGCUAAUACCGCAUACGUCCUGAGGGAGAAAGUGGGGGAUCUUCGGACCUCACGCUAUCAGAUGAGCCUAGGUCGGAUUAGCUAGUUGGUGGGGUAAAGGCCUACCAAGGCGACGAUCCGUAACUGGUCUGAGAGGAUGAUCAGUCACACUGGAAGUGAGACACGGUCCAGACUCCUACGGGAGGCAGCAGUGGGGAAUAUUGGACAAUGGGCGAAAGCCUGAUCCAGCCAUGCCGCGUGUGUGAAGAAGGUCUUCGGAUUGUAAAGCACUUUAAGUUGGGAGGAAGGGCAGUAAGUUAAUACCUUGCUGUUUUGACGUUACCAACAGAAUAAGCACCGGCUAACUUCGUG